rnacentral:lncRNA from 1 species
AUUCCACGGUGGAUAAUAAGAUCUAGUUUACAAGGACAGAUUUGGAUGGAAAGAGCAGUUACACUGUACUUCUGGGAAUCUAUUAGCCAAGUUUGCUGUGCUUGACACGAGUGCGAGGCCUCACCUUACUUGCUGACUGGACUAGCCCAACAGGUUCUACAGAAUAAACCCCAUUCUGUCUCAGCUGUGGAGAUCAAUGAAAAGACUCUGUCUUCUUGCCGCCAGAUAUGUUACCUGCACUUAGAGAAUUGAAAGUGCAAAUCAAAGGAGUGUUCUUUUGGGAAGAGAGUUUUAGCGGAAAGGUCUGGAUGCUGGUGAACUGAUGAGGAAGCAGCAGUUAUUUCUGAGAUUUAACUUUGACCUGGGCUUUGAAGAGACACCCAUUCACCACUGUUGCAACUGCAUGCUUCCAGGAACUGGAGAGCAGAAGAACUUACAACUUUUGAUGAAUUCAUCAAGCAAAAGGCCAGGACACAUUGACACAAGGGCUGAAGCCAGGCACACCAAGGGAGGACAUCCGAGGUUUGGGAAGCCUGCUAGGAUUCAGUGCCUUGUUGAGCAAAAGAGAAGAGAAGCCAACACUGGUAGAAUGGAGAAUCGCUGAUUAUGACAGCAGCCUGCUCAGCUGUACGGAGCCACCACGUUGAUAAAGCAGGAGGAGAGAAGGCGAGCACUCCAAAUUACUGCUGGAAGCUUGGCUGUUUCUCUAAGUCUCAGCUGGCUUCCACCCCUCAUUGCUGCACUGGUGGUGUCCCUUCCAUCUUUUUAAAUGCACAGACCACAGCUUCUGAUACCAGAGAAAAGAAGCGGGUUUAUACAAAGCUUAUUUGUUGAAAGUAUUCUUAAGGAUGACUCUCAGCACGGUAUCUGCUCUAUUUGUUUACAUUCUUGGUAGGGAUUUUUUUUCGCUUCUACUCUCAAUUUCUCCUUGUACAGGAGAAGCCAAGCUGAUAGUUGCUAAAAGACACAAAGUGAUGAAUUUGAUUUUAGUUUAUACCAAGCUUCAGUCAAACUGACAAUACAGACUUGAAAUUAAUUGCAAAAAAUUUAAACUCCAUUAAUGAUGCAGAGCUCCCAAAAGCCAAACAAGAUUUUUUUUAACUCCCUUCAGCAUAGCUGGCCGGUUAUAUAACACACAUUUGUUCUAAAAUUACUGCAGAAAUUACUGAAAAAGCCAUGGCAGACAUCUCCAGCAUCUUCCUAAUGAAUUAAUUAUUGCUUUUGUUUUUCUCACAGUAUCCUGAGCAUUAUCAACAUUUCUGUCUAAAAAUAAAAUAACACUAUUUUCUAUAUUAUAAGAAUUUCUCAGUACAUUUGAACCUUAUAAGAACCUUAUGAUAUGCACAUUAUAAUUCUCAUUUUGCAGUGGAGACAAGAUCAGUGAAGUUAAGUGCUUUAUCCAAGGACACACAGCCAGUAAACCAAUAAAACCAGAUUCUCAAUUUUUGUACACUGA